rnacentral:lncRNA from 1 species
CUCAAUCUUUCUCCUUAUGUUCCAAUUUGAGACUUUAAUAUCAAGCGUUACCUCAACACAUGCAUGUUAAAUCCAAUCUACAACACAGACCAAAACCCAGUUUACAAAGCAGGAUAAAACUGAGGUUGGCAACUCAAUUCCAAACGAAAUUGAAAGCACAUUUGCAAUUUCGUAUAAUUGAAAUUUAAUACAAUUGAAUUAUCACAAUCGUUGGAAACUACAGAAAUUUUACAGAGCAAAAGCGAUACCCUUUCAGCUACAUACAAAGAAAUUCACCGAAUCCCAGCUUCAACUUUAAAAAAUUGCCAAAAUUCAGUGAAUAAUAUUUGAAACAUCAAAUUAACGAAUACCUGGUAUUCUAUGCUUAAAGUGACGGACGUUGAAUUGAAUCGCCGGUUACCUAAGAGAAAUGAAGAGAUCGCCGUUGACAGAGAAGAAGGUGAAGUCUUAUUUAGUCGCCGUUAACUGAGAUAUAGAGGGGAUAGAGCUGUGUUUUCUUUCAUUUGCUUUCACUUGUGAGUUAUUUUUUAGGAUAGAAGGGCAAUCGUGAAAAGCUUUCUCACAAACAAAUAUUCCCUCCGUCUGAACCAAGGCAGUCCAAU